UAGGGAAUCUUCCACAAUGGACGAAAGUCUGAUGGAGCAAUGCCGCGUGAGCGAAGAAGGUUUUCGGAUCGUAAAGCUCUGUUGUAAGGGAAGAACACGUACGGGAGUAACUGCCCGUGCCAUGACGGUACCUUAUUAGAAAGCCACGGCUAACUACGUGCCAGCAGCCGCGGUAAUACGUAGGUGGCAAGCGUUGUCCGGAAUUAUUGGGCGUAAAGCGCGCGCAGGCGGUUCUUUAAGUCAGAUGUGAAAGCCCACGGCUCAACCGUGGAGGGUCAUUGGAAACUGGAGAACUUGAGUACGGAAGAGGAAAGCGGAAUUCCACGUGUAGCGGUGAAAUGCGUAGAGAUGUGGAGGAACACCAGUGGCGAAGGCGGCUUUCUGGUCUGUAACUGACGCUGAGGCGCGAAAGCGUGGGGAGCAAACAG
rnacentral:rRNA from 1 species